rnacentral:rRNA from 1 species
UACGUAGGUGGCAAGCGUUGUCCGGAUUUACUGGGCGUAAAGAGCGCGCAGGCGGUUAUUCAAGUCGAAUGUGAAAGCCCCCGGCUUAACUGGGGAGGGUCAUUCGAUACUGUUUAACUUGAAGGCAGGAGAGGGUAGUGGAAUUCCCGGUGUAGUGGUGAAAUGCGUAGAUAUCGGGAGGAACACCAGUGGCGAAGGCGGCUUCCUGGCCUGUUCUUGACGCUGAGGCGCGAAAGCUAGGGGAGCAAACGGG